rnacentral:lncRNA from 1 species
CAUUCAUUCCCUGCAGGAAGCUGAUGUCAAGCCAUCUGUUCAGAGUCCCUAAGCCAGGAAGUCCUGAGCAGUGGCGGCUUAGAGUUCCCCGGGUCUCCUGGAGCACCUUGCUUUGGCAGGCAUCUUUGGGUGCCUGGCCCUGGUCAAAGCCCCAAAGGAGGAAACGAGAAAUCUCACUAUCUUACGUGGCUGAUCUUUCCCAAGUCGGAGCACACACUUUAUCUUGUUCCCCGAUGCUCCCGGAGGUGCCUGCAGCGCUCGGAGAAUGUUUGCGGCAUGACGCUCGGGAGGAGAGCGGAGUAGAGAAAAGCACAGAAAGACAGAAUAAAGAGGGAGCGGUCCACUGCACUGUCAGCACUCCAGAGGCUACUUGGGGCAGGGGCAAAACCCUGUGUGUGUGUGUGUGUGUGUGUGUGUGUGUGUGUGUGUUUGUGCAGGCACGCGCAUGUAGUAGACCAAAUUUCUUUUCUUUCUUUUUUGUCUUUUUGAGACAGGGUCUCCCUAUGCAGUUCAGGCUGGCCUCGAGCUCACUUUGUAGCCCAGGCUGGUCUCAAACUCACAAUGAUCCUCCUGCCUCAGCCUCCUGAGUGCUGGGAUUACAGGCGUG